CACCAGCAGGACAUCUGCAUUUGAUCCUCUCUGUUGUAAGUUCAGCUGCACGAAAACUGCAAGUGUGGGGGGUCGCCCGACCCCCCAACUUCAUCUCUGAACUGCCGUGAGCAUGGAACAACACUGCAUACACCUCGGCACGUCAUGGCACCAAAAACAGGCGCGAUGAGGGGGUCGCCCGACCCCCUUUCUAUGGCAAAAGGAAACGACACAAGUGCAGAAAGACUUCCCGAGGGACGUAGAAUCGAGUGGCAGGGCCAGGAACCUCCAGGUGGGGUCGGCCGACCCUUCCAUGGAGCCGUGGGCCCACCAGGCAGCUUCUAUACGACGAAAGACAUCUUUCCUGCCCGGUUUGCUAAUUCUUCCCCCUCUCAGUCUGUCCAAUUCUUUACCUUUGUGUCACAAUUAAAAUAAAAUUUGAUAGUUUAAACUUGUUUGCAAAAUAAAAAGUGAACUGGUACAUGAUUUAAGAGAAAUAGUGACAUAAAGUAUAGUUCUUACAAUUGUUCAUCCUCAUGGGUAAAAAUCUAUAGGAACCAUAUUGACUAAGUUGUUGAUGAAAGUGAUAUAACUCUUGGCUAAGAAUUCAUAACAUUUCUAUUCAAGGUACUUAGAGAUUUGUUUCAAAAAUAUCACAAAACCAUAGUAUCAUUUACUCCUCAUUAGCAAGAAAUUCCCACUAAAAGCCAUACACUUAGAUAUUCAAGUAACCAUUUUAUGAAAUGCAACCUGCUUUUGUAAUGAGUUUUGUCAAAACCUUGUUGACCCUAGUGAGAGUUGUAUCAUAGUCACAAGAUCAAGAUCACGUACACACCACAUAUAUAUAUGCUGCUUCUACACUGGAAGUAUGCAACCACAUGUAUUGUGCAUCCACUAAAUAGGUUGCCCCAUACUCUAAGUGUUAGAACACCUCUCUAAAUAUUGUUUAGAAAAUGAGACAUAAAAGGGCUUGGCAAAAUGAAAGAAAAAGAAAAGAUGGACAUGUGCAAGUCCAUGAAAAAAAAAAUUUGAGCACAUAAAGCUCGAAGAAAAAGAAAAUCUAGCCAUGUCUCAAUAUACAAGUAGAGAGAGUGUAGUAAAUAAAGGAGCAACCUAGUCCACCAUAUAACACACUUGCACAUCUUGAUCUAUGACUAUGACACUCCUCUCUUUGGAUCCUUGUUUUUGACUUAACAAUAUUUGCAAAGUAGAGUAUGCUACCUUGUUUAUCCCUACCAAGCCCCAUAUAAGCCUAUAAUUAUAGGAUGAAACAAGUUGGCAUUCAUGCCUUGGUGAGGACUACUAAAAAACUUUGAGUGAUCUAGAGCGCUAAAUGAGGAGUAGGAUUGAACUAUGUGACUUAUUUUAAAAAGUGUCAUAAAAACUCUAAGUACCAAGAAUAUGAAAUUGGAAUUUAAUCUUGUUCUGAGAGUUGUUCCUUUUCUCAACCUCUGAAGGAUAUAUGCUAGACACUUACACAAAAACCCAUUUGGAUGAACUAUGUUCGAACUAGCAUUUUAUGCUCACUACUAUCUUAAGUUAGAAACCAUUGAUCACUCAUUUUUAACCUUUACUCGAGGACGAGCAAAGACUCAAGUGUGGGGGGUCUUGUUGACGGUAUUUAUACCAUGUUUUCUACUAUCAUAACCGUCAACAUAAGACUCAUUUUGGGAGAAAACAACCAAACAAAGUAGUAAUAUAGGUACAUAUAACCUAGUUCCACAUGUACAUGCUACUAUUUGGUUGCAGGAGUAAGAACAGGUACUUUUCAAGGGUCCAAACACUAAGAAGGGGUGAAUAACUAAAGAUCAGUGACACCAGUAACCAAGACAACAUUAUAGUCAUGA
rnacentral:lncRNA from 1 species